UGGGGAAUAUUGCACAAUGGGCGAAAGCCUGAUGCAGCGACGCCGCGUGAGUGAAGAAGUAUUUCGGUAUGUAAAGCUCUAUCAGCAGGGAAGAAAAAAAUGACGGUACCUGACUAAGAAGCCCCGGCUAACUACGUGCCAGCAGCCGCGGUAAUACGUAGGGGGCAAGCGUUAUCCGGAUUUACUGGGUGUAAAGGGAGCGCAGGCGGUGAGAUAAGUCUGAUGUGAAAGCCCGGGGCUCAACCCCGGGAUUGCAUUGGAAACUGUCACACUUGAGUGUCGGAGAGGUAAGUGGAAUUCCUAGUGUAGCGGUGAAAUGCGUAGAUAUUAGGAGGAACACCAGUGGCGAAGGCGGCUUACUGGACGAUAACUGACGCUGAGGCUCGAAAGCGUGGGGAGCAAACAGG
rnacentral:rRNA from 2 species